UACGUAGGGGGCAAGCGUUGUCCGGAUUUAUUGGGCGUAAAGAGCGUGUAGGCGGCUUUACAGGUCCGUUGUGAAAACUCGAGGCUCAACCUCGAGACGCCGGUGGAAACCGUAAAGCUAGAGUCCGGAAGAGGAGAGUGGAAUUCCUGGUGUAGCGGUGAAAUGCGCAGAUAUCAGGAGGAACACCCGUGGCGAAAGCGGCUCUCUGGGACGGUACUGAGUGCUGGAGACGCGAAAGCGUGGGGAGCAAACAGGG
rnacentral:rRNA from 1 species